AUCACUUCUCAGCCUUUUGGCUAAGAUCAGUUGUAGCAUCUGUUCUUAUCUGUUUAACAUGUGAUACUUCCUCUAUCCGAGGACAAUAUAUUAAAUGGAUUUUGGGAGCAGGGAGAUGGAACAGGAGCUUGCUCCGUCCACUCUGCACGUUGACCUGAUAUUGCAGAACCUCUGGGGGAUGUGGGCGGG